GAUGAACGCUGGCGGCGUGCCUAAUACAUGCAAGUCGAGCGAACAGACGAGGAGCUUGCUCCUCUGACGUUAGCGGCGGACGGGUGAGUAACACGUGGAUAACCUACCUAUAAGACUGGGAUAACUUCGGGAAACCGGAGCUAAUACCGGAUAAUAUAUUGAACCGCAUGGUUCAAUAGUGAAAGACGGUUUUGCUGUCACUUAUAGAUGGAUCCGCGCCGCAUUAGCUAGUUGGUAAGGUAACGGCUUACCAAGGCAACGAUGCGUAGCCGACCUGAGAGGGUGAUCGGCCACACUGGAACUGAGACACGGUCAAGACUCCUACGGGAGGCAGCAGUAGGGAAUCUUCCGCAACGGGCGAAAGCAUGACGGAGCAACGCCGCGUGAGUGAUGAAGGUCUUCGGAUCGUAAAACUCUGUUAUGAGGGAAGAACAAAUGUGUAAGUAACUAUGCACGUCUUGACGGUACCUAAUCAGAAAGCCACGGCUAACUACGUG
rnacentral:rRNA from 1 species